AUUGAACGCUGGCGGAAUGCUUUACACAUGCAAGUCGAGCGGCAGCGCGGGGGCAACCCUGGCGGCGAGCGGCGAACGGGUGAGUAACACAUCGGAACGUACCCAGUUGUGGGGGAUAGCCCGGCGAAAGCCGGAUUAAUACCGCAUACGACCUGAGGGUGAAAGGGGGGGAUCGCAAGACUUCUAGCAGUUGGAGCGGCCGAUGGCGGAUUAGCUAGUGGGUGAGGUAAAGGCUCACCAAGGCGACGAUCCGUAGCUGGUCUGAGAGGACGACCAGCCACACUGGAACUGAGACACGGUCCAGACUCCUACGGGAGGCAGCAGUGGGGAAUUUUGGACAAUGGGGGCAACCCUGAUCCAGCCAUUCCGCGUGAGUGAAGAAGGCCUUCGGGUUGUAAAGCUCUUUCGGCAGGAACGAAACGGUGGAGGCUAAUACCUUUCAUCAAUGACGGUACCUGAAGAAGAAGCACCAGCUAACUACGUGCCAGCCGCCGCCGUAA
rnacentral:rRNA from 1 species